GCUUCAAAAGCUAGUAGGUAAAGUACUCGUUUAGCAUACAGGAGUCGUGGGUUCAAAUCCCACUUGGGCA
rnacentral:tRNA from 1 species